UACAGAGGGUGCGAGCGUUAAUCGGAAUUACUGGGCGUAAAGCGCACGUAGUCGGCUUUGCAAGUCGGGUGUGAAAUCCCCGGGCUCAACCUGGGAACUGCAUCCGAGACUGCCAAGUUGCUGAGAGGUAUGGGAGAGGGAAGCGGAAUUUCUGGUGUAGCAGUGAAAUGCGUAGAUAUCAGAAGGAACAUCAGUGGCGAAGGCGGCUUCCUGGACCAAUACUGACGAUCAGGUGCGAAAGCGUGGGGAGCAAACAGG
rnacentral:rRNA from 1 species